rnacentral:lncRNA from 1 species
CAGAAACAGCUGAGUUACAGUUAAGGGACUCUUGGGGAGUUGCCUGUACCCAUUCGCCCUCCUCCCUGGCUGCAGAUUAUAACUGCAUGAUUAAGUGAAUAAGUGGCCUUUCUGUCUUCUUUCUCCAGGGGGCCAGAGAUGGGCCAGAAAAGCAAGCCUGGCUCAGGAAAGGCACCAUGCAGAAAUGCUGUUCCCAUUACACAGGUGGCAAGACUGAGGUCCCACCUUUAGGUCCCAAUUCUCUAUUUGGGAGACAAGGGAAGAUCUCAGGUUUCCAACAGGUGGCAAAUCUUUACUUUCAUUCUCUGUUCCCUCUCCCCACUUAUUAAUAUCAUGUGUUCUGAGUGUCAGGGUGGGGACACUGGUGGAGACCCCCCCCAAUGUACGAUCACUACUAACAUAGCUGACAUCCAUGAGCAACUGCCAUGUAGCCGGCACCGUGCUGAGUAACCAGCUCGAAGCUUCUUCACAACAACCUUAGAGGGCACUUUCUGGAAGGAUAUCAAUGUCUGGACCCAAAGUGUGCGGUUUUGAACAUCACUCACUCAGCCUCGCCCGCUGCCAGCACUCCAGUUGGUUCCGCUGCCAUCCCUGAUCCUUUGAUCCAAGAGAAGUGCUGAGAGCCUCUUUCUCCCCUCAGAGGCAGUGGGUUUCAAACCUUGAGGCAGCGUUUUCAUGUCCUCACCCACAUUGCCGGUCCAGUCUUGCCUAGUGGGAACGUGAUCCACGAGGCCCUUCAUGUGGCAGAUAAUGAGGUGGAUGGCUCUUUCAAACACCUCCUCCCAGAGGCCCUCCAGACUGCUGCAGUCCACAAGGUGCUCUCUGAACUCCCAGGGGACUUCUGCUUCAACACCUAAUUGUAGCUUGUCCUCUAAACGAACAGCUUCCUACUUCUCUGUCUUGCGUAAAGCCCUUCAGGACAAGAAUACAUUUUCUCCUUCUCUUAUGUUCUCUGUGGGUCCUUGGGUGGAACUGAACACAAAAUCCAGCAAAUGAAAUAAAAUCAAGGUGAGAUUUAUUUAACCUGGACUGUCAGACACCCCACCAGGCGUGUUUGCAUCCAAGCUUUCAUUUGGUUCCCACCAACAGCCCUGUGAAUUGGAUAUUCGGACACAUACUUUUACACACAAAGAAACUGACACUUAAGACAGACUGUGUCACACGCCCAAGGUCACAUAAAGAGCGAAAGAAGGGCUGUUGAUGCAACUGCCAGGCUUUCAUUCCUUUGGUAUUUACCAAGUGUCUUCCAUGCGCCAGGCUGUGGGCUCAGCUCCCCAGGG